UUCAGUCUGUAAGUACAAAGCAAAUAGCAGAUAAGUAUAUUUUGUAUAGAAUAAGAAUAAGAAGAAUAAGAAUAGUUAGAGUUCAGUUAAGGGCCCUUGAUGGGCAGCAUGUUAUUUAUACGCAAAACAAUUCACCAAGACAUAUAGCAACAACAACAAAAUACAAAUUGUAAUUUUUACAUUGAAAUGAUAUAUUAAAUGUUCAUAUAGUUAUAGAGCUACAUAUAUUUCUUCAUCUUAUAUAAUCAUGUACAAUUGAUUCCUGGCAGGACCAGAACCAUACAAUCAUUACAAUAAUAACUGUUAUGACUUGAUUAUAUUAAUUUACGUUUCGUCUGACAUCUAGACAUGUAAAAACAUUAUUCCCUAAAUAUUUUAGAAUAGACAAAUUUUCAUAAAUAAAUAACCAAACAAAUAUUGCCUCAUUUGAGAGAUCUGAAAAGUUAUGACAAAUAUUGUUUAUUUCCUUGAAAAAUAUCUGCCUAGCAUCAUUGUAUGCUGGACAACUAGUAAUAAAAUGUUGUUCAUCUUCAACCAUAUUAAGGGUACUGUUCUUACAAAGCCUCUGAUCUCUUUCUAUAUGUAUCGUUUUAUACCUAUCUCUUUCUAUAUGUACCGUUUUAUUACUGUCUCUUUUUAUUUUGAGAUCAUGGGCACUGAUUAUGAGUUUACAUAUGGCACUUCUCAAUCAAAAAUUAUUUAAAGAUAGACAAAUUUCUUAAAAAAAACAUGUUUUUAGUUUGAAAUAAGUAUCCAAUUUAUUACUUUUUGUAUCUGUUAUUUUUGUGUUCCAAAAUUUUACAAAACUAUUUCAAUGUAAUAAAAUCAAACAAAUAAUAGAUAUGCUUACACACAGUAUAUUCGGUUCAACUUGCUUGAAAAGAUAUAACCGUUGUUUCGUAUUACGGUUAUCAAAAGACCAUUAAUAUUCCUCCAUAACUUGACUUUGCAUUUGAAUUUUAGAUAAUAUCUGUAAUCUUUUUAAAAGACAACUUAACAUACUCUUAAUACCAUUCAUUCAUUGGUGCCAGUCGCUGAAACAUAAGCAAUGCAUUGUCAUGGAUAUAUAUUAGAAUAAAACACAUUGCUAGCACGUGUUAUAUCGUCUCAUCGGAUUAGUUUAAACAUGAAUUCUAGAAUAGUUCAUUUUGAAUCUAAAAUUAAAUGAAAUUUUAUACUUUGAAUGUCAUCGUUUUCAGUGUGAACCACACUUUUGACUGAAAUAGCUAUUAUUCUUCAAUUAUGGUGUUAGGGAUCAGUAUGUUAGGGAACACCACUACCGAACAGGACCUAUACAGGACAACCAAAAAUCUACGACGAUUUAAAAUAGAUUAGCCUUUUCUGAUCUGUUUACAUACUAUUAAAAAGUCCAUAGGUUUCAUAUUGGAAAUAUAUGCAUUCGCAGUUCGUGUUCUUCAAUCUGUUGUUUACUAUGUAGUUUUCUUUUGUUGGUUCCGCUUUUUCUUUUGAUCAUUGUGAUGUAUGUGUAACUUUUUCUUUGACUUAGACUAUUGUAUGCUUAGAAUAGACAUGUAUGUUGAUUGUUGAUUUGACCUGGCAAUCUUAUAUAUAUUGUAGCAGACGAACUGUUAUAUAAACUGUAUUUCAUGUAUCAUUCUAUCUUUUUCAGCCCGUAAGUAUCUAAAGAAAGAUAAGUAUACAAUUUAAUUUCAAUGAAAAUCAUUUGUUAACGAAAUCUUAUAAUGUACAAAACUACUCAAAGUCAUUGAAAACCCGAAAACUAUCUCAACAAUUUUGUUAAAAAGAUAUUGAGAAAUAAAACCCUGAAAGCAAUUUUUCACUAACAUUUCAAUUUUUUACUAUAAUCUUGAAAACUAUAAUAGGUAGGUAGAAACUGAAACAAGCGAUUGAUCAACAAUACAAACUAAAAUCUACAAAAAUGCCAAUAUGACCAAAUCCAUUUGAUGACUCUGUUAAUGAGUUAUUGCCCUUAAAUGACGAUAUUUGACUAAUUUUCAAGUGUUUUAUAUUUAUUUCAAUUUUUGGCAGGUGAGCGAUUCAGACUCUUACGUCCGCUUGGUAUUAGUUUUUGUUUGUGGUCUUGACAAAUAUAACACAAGAAAUAUGUCAGAAAACCUUUCGAACAUUAAGAUGGGAUUUUUUAAAUAGAUGUUUAUAUUUAUGUCCGAACUUGUUAUUUACUUCGAAAUAGAAAAAAAAGAAACAUAUUAAGUGAGGUACAAUUUGUAAUAAAUUAAUUGACCAUGAAUGAUUUUGAAUCCAAAAAAUGGUGUUAAGCUGUAUGUCAUACUAGUUAUUGGUGUGUUUUUAUUGUCGUGUCUGGGACGAUAGGGAAGGUGAGACAUAGCUAUUAUACAUUCCGUCCCCUUGUCGUCGGGCGUCGUUGAAGUUUUUAUGCAACAUUUUGGUUCAGUCUAUGAUAAAAGCUUUUUAGAUCAAUAAUGUUAUAAAACCUCCAUCGAAUUUUUCAAAACUUUAACAGAAGCUUCUCCAUGUUUAAGGACAGUUUUCAGAUCAAAAUUAUGAAAAUAUUUCUUUUCAUAUUCGUACUGAUAAAUGUACUUAGGUUAUUUUGCAUUUGAAAUUUAGAUACACUCAGUGUUUAAAGUAUUAAGACAUCAAAAACUUUGUUAAACCUUCAUAGAAUUUUACUUGAUUUGGAUUGAAGAUUAUUUAUGAUUCAGGUAACUUUGCCAUGGUGUUGUCAGUUUCUCUUCAACUCAUGAGUUUUGAAUGAUCCCUUAGUAUUUCCGCCUAUUUUUAACAUCUAAAGCACAUUUUUUUUCUUAUUCAUUUUUCUCUGUUGUUUUGAUAGAUGUUGUUUAGCAUUUAUCAUUAAACUUUCACCCGGACAGCAGCAAUCGUAGACGAGACAAAGGGCUCAGCUGAAGCCUUUACGAAUAUUUAAGUACAUGGUUUCCUUUCAGACAAUCGCCGAGAUAUAGCCUUUUUGUGCUGAUGCGGCGUAAAACAUAUUGUUCAAAGGGUCUUCGAUCCAUUUCGACAGCUCAUUAAUCGACCAAACGGUCAUUCUAAACAAACAUUUCGUAGUAAAGCCUAUUAGUCUUACAGACAGAACGGCAUAUAAAAAAUAAAUCAAUCAAAACAGACUUUUAGAUUUAGCAAUUUAACAAAAACAGAAAAGGCUUUUGGUGAAUAUUAUGUACAGUGGCAAUUGAACAUAUUUUCUAAAUAAUGCCUUUAAACAAAUUAUAUUAUAUAACGAUUUUUAGGUUGCAAUAUAUAGUUGUAUUAAACUAUAAUGUGUCUUGAUAAAUAAAUUAUUCUAAUGACUGUUACAUUUUUCAGGAUGUAAGUAUCAAGAAGGAAUAGAUAAGUAAAUUUAGAAUGUAAAAAGAAAUGGCAUAACAGAAAAUUAUACAUAAGUAACUCAUACUGCAAUUUAAGAACACAAUCCAUAUUUAAAUUGAAAAAUAGAUUUCAAACAAUAAACAUUUGAAAAGGUUACCCUAUGGUAGCUGAAAUAUAUAAACAUGUCGAAAAACUUAGAUAACUGUGAAGAUUUCCAGCCAGAAAAACAACUAGACUAUAAAUGAAAAUCAUUUAAAAAAAAAACUAUUUUGGUUUGUUAUCACGACAAAGUUUUAUCAGGUAAAUAACAGGUUGUUUUUGUUAUGAAAUCGACUUUGGUGAACAAUAACAAGUAAAAUAAACAAGAAAAUUCCAAAAAUCAGAAGUCGGAGAAAUACAAUUAACACAAUCACCUGAAGAAAAAGGACGAAAAGACAGCCAAUAUUGCACAGAAAGCGACAGAGUAAACAAAACAAUCCAUCUUCGUAAACUCAGGUGCUGUGGAAGGGAAAUACAUGGGUAAUAUACGUUCCGAUUAAUUUGAUCGUUUACUACGUGUUCAACUUGGUAAAUUGGUAGGGUACAAAUAAACUCAUCAUAGAUACCAAGAUUAAAAUUUUGUAUGCCAAAAGUCUACAAAAGACUCAUUAGUAACGCUUGAAUCAAAAAAGUUAAAAAAGGCCAAAUAAAGUACGAAGUUGAAGAGCAUUGAGGAUCCGACAUUCCGUAAGGUUUUGCUAAAUACAGCUAAGGUAAUCUAUUCCUGGCGUAGAAAUUUCGUAGUAUUUCAAAAAAAUCAAAAUGGAUUUAUAGUUAUGACCAAAUUAAUUCAUUUCGAUUUGAUUUUUAGAUGUAAACGUUGCUGGAAACACAACUGGAAACAUAUCAAAGACGUCUGAACCAAUUGACUUACACGUUAAGAAACUGUACUAACAGUUGGAGUGUUGCUAUGUAGAAUAUACUAGUUAGAUAUGAACAUUUUUUAUAGUUUGAAAAUACAUUACACUGAAAAAUAUUACAUGUAAAUGAAAAAGUAUAAUAUCAAAAUUAAUGUAUAUUGACAUAAUUCUAAAAAUAAAUAUUAUACUUUAAUUUAAGGUGUGCGUAAUUGAACGCAUGUAGCUGAUUUUGGGAUAAAACUCGUGCGUCGUAAAAUAUGCGAUGUAUCGAUUACCCUUUUUCCAGGCAACUAUAAAUUUACGCACAAGCAAAAUAGACUUUGGACGGUUUAUUUAAAAAAAAAGAACCCUUGUUCUAUGUCAAUACUGCAUCAAAUUUUAAAUGAUUUUAAUAAGAAUCUGGGUAUGCUCAAAGUGUAGUUAUAACUGGACGGUUGGAAGAAUAAUUCAGUAACUUUUCCCAAAAUUUGGACAUAAGGACGGCUUAACGGAUAAACUGACGAACGAACAUUUCCUCGUUGUUCAAUAUUCAUUAAUUAGACAAAAUUGGUUCCGCACUUGCUAGGCAUUUAUCGUUCAUAAUAUCAUAUCUGAAACUAAAAAAAUGUAUACAUAAGCACGUGAAAAUAGUUGGCUAGGCUUGGUAUGGCCUGAAAUGAUAUUCCAAGAUCAUUAUUCAAGGUUUGUCAUAGCUUCACAAGUUUUUAAAUUUUCAACAAUAAAAAUAGGAUCAUA